AGUGAACGCUGGCGGCGUGCUUAACACAUGCAAGUCGAACGAGAACGGGUUAUAGCUUGCUUCUCUGAUGUUAGCGGCGGACGGGUGAGUAACACGUGGGUAACCUACCUAUAAGACUGGGAUAACUCCGGGAAACCGGGGCUAAUACCGGAUAAUAUUUUGAACCGCAUGGUUCAAUAGUGAAAGACGGUUUCGGCUGUCACUUAUAGAUGGACCCGCGCCGUAUUAGCUAGUUGGUAAGGUAACGGCUUACCAAGGCGACGAUACGUAGCCGACCUGGGAGGGUGAUCGGCCACACUGGAACUGAGACACGGGCCAGACUCCUACGGGAGGCAGCAGUAGGGAAUCUUCCGCAAUGGGCGAAAGCCUGACGGAGCAACGCCGCGUGAGUGAUGAAGGUCUUCGGAUCGUAAAACUCUGUUGUUAGGGAAGAACAAAUUUGUUAGUAACUGAACAAGUCUUGACGGUACCUAACCAGAAAGCCACGGCUAACUACGUGCCAGCCGCCGCGGUAA
rnacentral:rRNA from 1 species